GCAUGGCAGACAGAAUGGUUGCACAUUCUCAGUAAACUAAACCUUUCAAAAUUUGGAGAGGGCUUUUUGCAGUAAGUAGAAUUAGACCCUCUGACACUAUUCCCAAAACACUAUACUGACAAGGUGCUUCAGUGAUGACUUUUAACACUUUUAUCACUCUCUAUAUUGGGCAUAUCUGAAGAAAUGUCUGCCAAUUUGGUGAACUUUGCAGCAUUUUUGUAGUGUGUGUGCAAAAGAGAUCUACCAUUGUAAAUACAUAUUAUGUAGUGUAAUUCAUGGACUUCAUGGAAAUUUGACAUCAGGAGAAAAAAAAAUACAGAUGAGAAACUGAAGCUAAAAGAGCUUAAAUGACUUACCCAAGAUCACAAAGGAAGCAGUAUUUGAAACCAGCUCUUCUUGACUAAUAUCUGCAACGUCACAUUUUGUACAGAUUUGCUUACAUGCUCCUAUAAGAAAUAAUAACAAUAAUAAUCACUGCUUCCAAAAUACAUUACAGAUGUAUUGCUAUCAAAUAAAUG